rnacentral:rRNA from 1 species
UGGGGAAUAUUGCACAAUGGGCGAAAGCCUGAUGCAGCAACGCCGCGUGAGUGAUGAAGGCCUUCGGGUUGUAAAGCUCUGUCUUCUGGGACGAUAAUGACGGUACCAGAGGAGGAAGCCACGGCUAACUACGUGCCAGCAGCCGCGGUAAUACGUAGGUGGCAAGCGUUGUCCGGAUUUACUGGGCGUAAAGGAUGCGUAGGCGGAUACUUAAGUCAGAUGUGAAAAUCCCGGGCUUAACUUGGGAACUGCAUUUGAAACUGGGGAUCUAGAGUGCGGGAGAGGAAAGUGGAAUUCCUAGUGUAGCGGUGAAAUGCGUAGAGAUUAGGAAGAACACCAGUGGCGAAGGCGACUUUCUGGACCGUAACUGACGCUGAGGCAUGAAAGCGUGGGGAGCAAACA